GAUGAAGAACGUAGCGAAAUGCGAUAAGUAAUGUGAAUUGCAGAAUUCAGUGAAUCAUCGAAUCUUUGAACGCACAUUGCGCCCGCCAGUAUUCUGGCGGGCAUGCCUGUUCGAGCGUCAUUACAACCCUCAGGCCCCCGGGCCUGGCGUUGGGGAUCGGCGGAGCCCCCCGUGGGCACACGCCGUCCCCCAAAUACAGUGGCGGUCCCGCCGCAGCUUCCAUCGCGUAGUAGCUAACACCUCGCGACUGGAGAGCGGCGCGGCCACGCCGUAAAACACCCAACUCUUCUGAAGUUGACCUCGAAUCAGGUAGGAAUACCCGCUGAACUUAAACAUAUCAAUAAGCGGAGGA
rnacentral:misc_RNA from 1 species